rnacentral:rRNA from 1 species
CCUACGGGAGGCAGCAGUGGGGAAUCUUGCGCAAUGGGCGGAAGCCUGACGCAGCAACGCCGCGUGGGGGAUGACGGCCUUCGGGUUGUAAACCUCUUUCGCGAUCGACGAAGGUCCGCUUUCUGUGGGCUGACGGUAGGUCGAGAAGAAGCACCGGCCAACUACGUGCCAGCAGCCGCGGUAAUACGUAGGGUGCGAGCGUUGUCCGGAAUUAUUGGGCGUAAAGAGCUCGUAGGCGGUGUGUCGCGUCGGCCGUGAAAACCUGGGGCUCAACUCUGGGCGUGCGGUCGAUACGGGCAUCACUUGAGUUCGGCAGGGGAGACUGGAAUUCCUGGUGUAGCGGUGAAAUGCGCAGAUAUCAGGAGGAACACCGGUGGCGAAGGCGGGUCUCUGGGCCGAUACUGACGCUGGGGAGCGAAAGCAUGGGUAGCGAACAGGAUUAGAUACCCUGGUAGUCCAUGCCGUAAACGUUGGGCGCUAGGUGUGGGGUCCAUUCCACGGGUUCCGUGCCGCAGCUAACGCAUUAAGCGCCCCGCCUGGGGGAGUACGGCCGCAAGGCUAAAACUCAAGGGAUUGACGGGGGCCCGCACAAGCGGCGGAGCAUGUGGAUUAAUUCGAUGCAACGCGAAGAACCUUAC